rnacentral:rRNA from 1 species
GGGGAAUAUUGCACAAUGGGCGCAAGCCUGAUGCAGCGACGCCGCGUGGGGGAUGACGGCCUUCGGGUUGUAAACCCCUUUCGCCAGGGACGAAGCGAGAGUGACGGUACCUGGAGAAGAAGCACCGGCCAACUACGUGCCAGCAGCCGCGGUAAUACGUAGGGUGCAAGCGUUGUCCGGAAUUAUUGGGCGUAAAGAGCUCGUAGGCGGUGUGUCACGUCUGCCGUGAAAACCUGCGGCUUAACCGUGGGCGUGCGGUGGAUACGGGCAUCACUUGAGUUCGGUAGGGGAGACUGGAAUUCCUGGUGUAGCGGUGGAAUGCGCAGAUAUCAGGAGGAACACCGGUGGCGAAGGCGGGUCUCUGGGCCGAUACUGACGCUGAGGAGCGAAAGCGUGGGGAGCGAAC